rnacentral:rRNA from 1 species
CCUACGGGGGGCUGCAGUAGGGGAUUUUCGGCAAUGGGGGGAACCCUGACCGAGCAACGCCGCGUGAACGAAGAAGUUAUUCGUAAUGUAAAGUUCUUUUAACAGGGAAGAAAGAGAAAUUUGACGGUACCUGAAGAAUAAGCUCCGGCAAACUACGUGCCAGCAGCCGAGGUAAUACGUAGGGAGCGAGCGUUAUCCGGAAUUAUUGGGCGUAAGGGGUGCGUAGAUGGCAUAGUAAGUCUGUGGUAAAAAUGCUGGGCUAAACCCAGUAGGGCAAAAGAUACUGCAAAGCUAGAGUAUGACAGAGGCAAGUGGAACUACAUGUGUAGCGGUAAAAUGCGUAAAUAUAUGUAAGAACACCAGUGGCGAAGGCGGCUUGCUGGGUCGAUACUGACAUUGAGGCACGAAAGCGUGGGGAGCAAACAGGAUUAGAUACCCCUGUAGUC